AUUGAACGCUGGCGGCAUGCUUUACACAUGCAAGUCGAACGGUAACAGGCCUUCGGGCGCUGACGAGUGGCGAACGGGUGAGUAAUGCAUCGGAACGUGCCCAGUCGUGGGGGAUAACGCAGCGAAAGCUGUGCUAAUACCGCAUACGAUCUGCGGAUGAAAGCGGGGGACCUUCGGGCCUCGUGCGAUUGGAGCGGCCGAUGUCAGAUUAGGCAGUUGGUGGGGUAAAGGCUCACCAAGCCAACGAUCUGUAGCUGGUCUGAGAGGCCGACCAGCCACACUGGGACUGAGACACGGCCCAGACUCCUACGGGAGGCAGCAGUGGGGAAUUUUGGACAAUGGGCGCAAGCCUGACCCAGCAAUGCCGCGUGCAGGAAGAAGGCCUUCGGGUUGUAAACUGCUUUUGUACGGAGCGAAAAGGCUCCCUCUAAUACAGGGGGCUCAUGACGGUACCGUAAGAAUAAGCACCGGCUAACUACGUGCCAGCAGCCGCCGUAACAC
rnacentral:rRNA from 1 species